CAAGUCAGCUUUAGGCUUGGCAUUCGUACUAUCUUUUACUCUCUAGGGUUUAGAAACUACAUUUCUAAGCUAGAUCUACUAUUCUUUUGCAAAAAAAUAUGGAAGUUCAAUCCCUGAAUCAAGGCCUUGAAUGAUUGGAGCCCCCAAACACAAUAUGUUGAACAAUUAUAAAAUAUGAUUUUGAUUUUGCCUUUUUUGUUUUUAUUUUUAUUUUUUCAAAUUCCUUCUUCUUCUUCAUCAUCAUCUUCUUCUUCUUGUCUUGUUUGCUUUGAUUAGAGCCUAAAAUCAAAAUUUCAAAAGAUUGGAGCCUUUAAAACACAAUCGACUUGAUUGUGAUAAAGUCAAAAUUUUUUUUCUCUAUUUUAUGUUUUUUCCACAUUAAUUCCAUCUUGAUUUAUGCAAGCGAUUAUUGAUUUUGGAGCAUUCAAAACAUGAUCUACUCAAUUGAGAGCUUGAAAUGAAGGCUUCAAAGGAAUGGUGCCUAAGAAACACAAUCUACUUAAUUAUGCAAUGAACAUGAAGACCGUCCAAGACCUUUGCGAGACAUUGAUAACCUAAAGGGUGAAACUGACAUAACUGAAAGGAAGGCAAUUCCUUCUUGGGAUUAUGAUGUAAGAAAAUCAUAUUUUUAGUUUCAACUAAAACUUGUCAUCUCUCUUUUGUGGUUUGACUGCUGCUUCUGGGGCGUCUUCAUUACUUAUAACAUAAGAGAAGAAACAAAUAUUAUUAAUAUAUUAUGUACUGAGUAUUGCCUCUCUAGGAAAUAUGAUUGGAGGUUGAAUUCUACUUCUUUCAAUUUCUAUGUCUAGAAUAUUUUCGUCCAAGAUGUUUAGGUUGAACGCCUCUGAAGUUAGAGUUUGCUAAGGCAUUCAAGUUUUGUUUCUCAUGAAAAGAAAUGUUGUCGUAUGUGGAAGAGAACUCCACCAUGUCGUAGGAGACAAGUGGAUGGUGGAAAUUCAAGGAAAAGAAAGCGAACAAAGCCUGAAUAUAUAGCCCAAGACAAGCUUCUAAAAGGUUUAGUUUUGUAUCUAAUUUUCCAUUUUGCAAAAUGAUCUUCUACAUAUUUUCUUGUUUUUGUUUCAUAUCGAAUCAUUACAUAAAUCCAGCUUGCCCAUCAUGACUUUUCAUUUUACUAAGAUUGUUUCCAAACAUGGUAUGUUUCUAAGGUUUUUGUCACUUCUAAUUGUUCAAAUAUGUACAGUUCAACUAUCAUAUCUGCAGAAAGGUGAUGACUCUCCCACUUACUACCCCCUAUACUCAUAACUUCAGUAAGGGUUGUCUGGAGGGUGUCUUUGCUUGUCAAACUUUCAUGAGGCAAAGAACAUGCGAAGGUAGGAGGACGUUACGAACACAAAAUAAUAUCAUGAAAUGCCCAUCUUUCUCAAACGUAAUAUAGGACUUUCUAAAAAAUCCACAGGUAUAUUUGGCAAUUCUGUUAAAACUUCAAUUUCACAAAGGGAAAGCAUGGAUGCUCGUCUUUAAGAGACUAAUCUUAACUAUUGUGAAAUAUUCUUGAGGGGCUACCUCUAUGGAAGAUUUUUUUAUGAUCUUGAUUUAUAAAGUUUUAGGCUAUGUCUACUAAUCACUUGUAAUGUUUUUAUUAGGAUUCACACUGUAAUUUGAUCAGUGCAUUUGCAUUAUGAUUUUUAAAUAUAUAAAACACACCAACACACUACAACUUAACUGAUUGAUGAUGUAAUAUCUUAUUUGUCCUUGAUCUCUCUCUUAACACGGACAAUUUUUUGCUAGAAUGUUAAAACAAUUGAAAUAGUAAAUGUUGCUACUUUCCCUUGAAGACAGUUGUGCUUCUUUGAUAGGUUAACAGAGAAUUGAUGAGUGUAAUUGAAUUGCUUCAAAGGAGGGUUGAAGUGGCAUAGGAAAUGGCUGAGUCAUCAGGUGAUGAAGUUGAUAGCAUGGAGGAGAGCUCAGAUGAAAUUGCUGGAGAGGCAUAAACAUUCUAUCUUAAUUUUGGGUGUUUGUAGGAUGUCAAAGGGGUCACUCCACAUCCUCCAACUAUAAUCAAAGCUCCAUAAACUCAAAGCAAAAAAGAGCAAGGUAAGUGCUUGCCAAACCUCAGGGGAGGGGGUGCUCAAAGAUGAUAAAAAUGCUGAAAUGAAAUUGAAGUACUUUCUUGUUAUACCUCAAAUGCUUAAAUAAUAAAAUAGUUAUAAAUUAUAAAAAUACUAUGAUGCAAUUGUGAUAUGAUUAUUGA